GGAUCAAUAGCUCAAUUGGUUAGAGUACGCGGCCCAUAACCGCGGCGUUGCAGGUUCAAGUCCUGCUUGAUCCACCA
rnacentral:tRNA from 1 species